ensembl:lncRNA
AAUCUUCCCUGGUGGCUCAGAGGGAAACACAACAGAUGUCCAAUCAGUGUUUGACGACUGACCCCCCCUUCCAUUGUCAUCUUUAUUCUUACUUCUUCUUUGCCUUCUCCUCCUCAUCCUUUCCUUUCAGCAUUUCAUUCUCUUCUUUUUGCUCCCCUCUGUUCCCCUUUGCCUUGUUAAGUAUGGUAGGCAGCUGCUGACGUGGCUUCCUCCCGAUAUUUGCAGCCUUGUGUAAUCCCACUCUCCUUGGUGUGGGCUCUACCUAGUGACUUGCUUCUAGUGAACAGAACACAGUGAAGGUAAUGGUAUGUCAUUCCCGUGACUCGAUAACAGAAGACUCUCUUGUUAGUACACUCUUGCUGGCACUCUUUCUUGUCCUCUCUCUUGCUCCCUCUAAUGAAGACAGUUCCAUGUUGUGAGAUGCUCUACGGAGAGGCUCACAUGGCAAAGGAUCAAAAGAAGCCUAUGGCCAACAGCUCAUGAAGAAGUGAAGUCUCAGUUCAACAAUUUGCAAGAAACUGACUCCUGCCAACAGUGGCACGACUGAACGUGGAAGUGGAUCCUUCCCAGCUGAGUCUUCUGAUGCCAGAUGACUGCAGCCCAGGGCCACACUUUCAUGCCAGCCUUGUGACAGAGUCAGAGUCAGAGAACCCAGCUAAACCAUGCCAGACUUCUGAAUCAUGGAAAUUGAGACAAUAAGGGAUUUCCAGUAGAGUGACACUCCUGGCUUCUUGUCCCACCUGAUUGGUGCAUCUGGAAGAAGGAACUGAACAUGCUCAGCAGGUCUCUCUUAGGGGAGCUGCUUGCCUGCAGAGAAAGUGCAUUCUGGGCUUAAGCAGAGCAGGCUCUGCCCAUCAGUUUUGCCUGAUGUUGGGGGUGGGGGUAAGUUCAACUUAGAAGAGUAUUAGCAAGCUGUGUCCUCCAAAAGAGCUUCUUAUCGGUAAUAAAGCUGACACUUUGAUCUCCA